rnacentral:rRNA from 1 species
GACGAACGCUGGCGGCGUGCUUAACACAUGCAAGUCGAACGAUGAACUCCAGCUUGCUCCGGUGGAUUAGUGGCGAACGGGUGAGUAACACGUGAGCAAUCUGCCCCUGACUCUGGGAUAACUGCGGGAAACUGUAGCUAAUACCGGAUACGAGACCUGAAGGCAUCUUCGGGUCUGGAAAGAAUUUCGGUCAAGGAUGAGCUCGCGGCCUAUCAGCUUGUUGGUGAGGUAAUGGCUCACCAAGGCGACGACGGGUAGCCGGCCUGAGAGGGUGACCGGCCACACUGGGACUGAGACACGGCCCAGACUCCUACGGGAGGCAGCAGUGGGGAAUAUUGCACAAUGGGCGAAAGCCUGAUGCAGCAACGCCGCGUGAGGGAUGAAGGCCUUCGGGUUGUAAACCUCUUUUAGCAGGGAAGAAGCGAAAGUGACGGUACCUGCAGAAAAAGCACCGGCUAACUACGUGCCAGCCGCCGCGGUAACAC